rnacentral:tRNA from 1 species
GGGCCUCCAGCAUAUCUGGUACAUGCAACCGCCUCAUAAGCGGACGAUAGACCGGUUCGAAUCCGGCGAGGCCCACCA